GUCUCCACCCCCCCCACCCCCCCGCCGGCCCCAUGAGGCUGGUGGGGGCAGGCUCCAAGUGCACUGCCCAGGCAGCCCUGACCCUGAGCAAGGCCGGCCCGGUUCCAGCACCAGAGUGGAUCGGGAAUGGCCAAGGAAUCCCUGCAUUUCCUGAGACAUUUCUUGAAGACACCCCCUCACUUGUGUGCCACAGACAGAAGGGCCUCCCUUGGAAGACACAGGCUGGGCUCUGCUGUCGGGGCGGACCGAGGCUUCCAGAAGGAGAUUCCCCACCGAGGCCCCACUGCCCACCAGGAGAACUAUGGUCAGCUCAGCCUGUGCCCCUACAGGUGAUUAAGACUUUCUCUCCAGUAAGGGGAUGGGAUCUGCCUCAGGGUGGGGGUGACACUGUCCAGGGAGGUCCCUGAAGAUGGGAGGUUCGGGGCUCAUCGGGGGCCAGGGAGGGACUCUUGGUCCCCUGUCCUGUGAAGAGAGAGGGAAGGGCCUGAAGGCCAGGGCCAGCCCCCGCCUGUGCUGGGAACUGAGGUCUCCUAGGGCGUCAGUAACAAGGUUCCUGAUGUGCUUACCUGUGGGGAUUGAGUUUGUUUCCACGUUAGGAGGGGGGCGACCGUCCUAUGAGGACAGAACCGGCCACACGUUGACAACCGUUACUCGCAUGUGCCUUUAACAAAUGACGUAGCGAUGAGCGUUCAACUCUCCCCUGUUGAGUUGUUUCGGUUAUGCACCGGAAGCGUUUUCCAACGACCGCCCUUGAGCGACAGCCACCCGAGUCGCUGUAAGUAGUGACCUGCGGGCAAGGGCUUUCCGCGGGUAAAACAGGCCCAAGAAAACCCCAACCCAAAGUCAGCAAGACUUUCAGUGCAUUAGAAGUUUUUCCCAGAAAUUCUCUCCGCCACCAGACAGUAGGCCGAUCUGCUCUUUAUAUGGUUUCAUUUGGUUUCCACGCCUGGGCGGCAUCACAGCGGCGAAGGGUUUCCUUCCAGAGAAAUGCUCCCCUGGAGAAGACAAAGCCAACCCUCGUCAAAGGGCGUGUUGCAGAAACUGCCCCCACCUGACUCUGUGUCCCCUGGGAAUGUGCUCGCGGGAAAGAGCCAGGAGGCAAGGGCAGCGUCGCGAGGAAACGGGGAGACGCGCUGGAAUAAUUCCCACAAGGACAAAUAUUCGGAACAGAAAAUGAAAACCGUUUGCCCUCAAUUUUCCUGUGCGGAAAUACCAUGCAACCCCCUCGCCCUGGCUGGGCUCAGGUCAAACGUCUGGGUACAAACGCAGAAAGUCAAGUCUCCGGGUCGGAAUUUACGCUGUAAAGGAGGUUGAGAUCCAGGCACAACUCAAGGGGUCGCGGCCCAACUAUUGGGUCCAAGUGCCUACAAUCUGAGAUUCCCAAACCUCCAGACAAAGCCCCUGGCACCGCGCAUGUGAGGGAACAGUGGUGUCCCCUCCUGGGGGACCGUGGGGACACGUGAUCGUGGUCCUUCAGCCCCGCCUCCCGCCUCCCAUAACAAGUCAGGUUGGGGGCCCCAGGGACCCCCUCCAUAGGCUUCACAGGCACCCUCCU